rnacentral:rRNA from 1 species
UACGAAGGGGGCUAGCGUUGUUCGGAAUCACUGGGCGUAAAGCGCACGUAGGCGGAUGUGCCAGUCAGGGGUGAAAUCCCGGAGCUCAACUGGGGAGGGUCAUUCGAUACUGUUCGACUCGAAGGCAGGAGAGGGAAGUGGAAUUCCGGGUGUAGUGGUGAAAUGCGUAGAUAUCUGGAGGAAUACCGGUGGCGAAGGCGGCAUCCUGGACCGACAUUGACGCUGAGGAGCGAAAGCUAGGGGAGCAAACGGG